rnacentral:hammerhead_ribozyme from 1 species
AUCCAGCUGACGAGUCCCAAAAUAGGACGAAAUGCGAGUCAAACUGGAU